UACGAAGGGGGCUAGCGUUGUCCGGAAUCAUUGGGCGUAAAGCGCGCGUAGGCGGCCCGGUAAGUCCGUUGUGAAAGUCAAAGGCUCAACCUUUGAAAGCCGAUGGAUACUGCCGGGCUGGAGUCCGGAAGAGGCGAGUGGAAUUCCUGGUGUAGCGGUGGAAUGCGCAGAUAUCAGGAGGAACACCAAUAGCGAAGGCAGCUCGCUGGGACGGUACUGACGCUGAGGCGCGAAAGCGUGGGGAGCGAACAGG
rnacentral:rRNA from 1 species